CAAUCACCACAUCCGUAGCACGCCUUCCUCCUCCUUACUCGUCACCAGAGCCGCCACACCUCUCCUUGCUCCUCACCCGCACCCCUGUCGCGGUGCACAUCCCUCCCAUCAUCGAGCCCAACUCCCUUCACGUUUCUCCUACUCCCAGAACCACAUCCCGUUGUUUAGGCUCCAUGGCGACGGCCGGAUCGAGGCGAGCCUGGCGCAGGUAGGCGGAAGCAGCCGGGCGCCGGAUGCGGGUGGGAGAGUUCCUCCUCGUCGCCAGAGCCACUGCACCUCUCCUUCCUCCUCGCCCGCACCCCUACCGCAGUGCACAUCCCUCCCCACAUCGAGCCCAACUCCCCUUCGCGUUUCUCCUCCUCGCAGAACCACAUCCCGCUGGUUAAGCUUCAUGGCGGCGGCCGGCUCGAGGCGAGUCUGGCGCAGGUAGGCGGAACUGAUAUGGGUGGGAGAGUGUCGGACGGUGCGCCGGCUGGAGCAGCAUGAGCAAGGAGCCGGGGUCGGCCGUGGAAGGUAGGCUCGCUGGCCGGAGCAACUGCAAUAGUUGUUGGUCGGCCCGACGCAGUGCCUCAGCCCCGCCUCCUCUGUUGCAGCACACACGCAUGAGAGGGGCAGAUGUGUCGUCACUGGUGGCAAGUUCAGCGGCCGCCGCCUCCUCUUUUCUUCAAAUCCAGUAAGCCCUCUCGUGAGUGCAUAAGGGGAUGUCGUGCCCUCGAGUCCUCAACUACGGUGAAGCACCAGGUCCACAUGAGCUCCUCCUUCAAUCUGCGUGCCUGAUUUCUUAAUUUUUCAUGAAUGCACAUAGCUGAAGACAGUGGCGGAGCCAGAAAUUUCUUCCUUGGUAAUCAUUUGUGCAAUUUUAUAUCAAUAUGACAACAAAUAUACAGCAAGCCAGUAGCAGCAUACAAAUGGAUCGAACAAUUCUUUAGUAUUUCAUGGAAGUCCGGGGAAGACCCCUAGCGCCGCCACUGUCUGAAGAUUUUUUGGUUCCCUCAUCUAGAUUUCUUCUGAAGUGUGCAGGUUGUUAUUCCUUAUCAAGGAGAGCCUUAAUCAACCACACAAGAAUUUGGAUUGAAAUGAGACAGAUUCCCUAUACUAUAUUCCCUAGCCAAAUAUAGUUCAGAGGUUGAAUGAACAUUACUGCUACAAAUUUGGCUAGGGAAUCUGUCUCAUUUUAAUAUUGCAAUGAAGUGGUUGGGAUGGAGAGGAUUUUUUACUUGUCUAAGGUAAUAUUUGUUAGGUCUAUUCCUGCCAAAAAAUGUACUAAAUGUUUGUUAGUGUCCUCUUCUUUAAUUGGUUUAUAUAUUCAACUUGAUUCCUUAGCAUUCAAAUGGAAUAUACUAAAUUGGCUUUCACCUUUUUGUCCACUACUCACAGAUAUCACAAGAAGCAUCAAUGUUUUCUUAGCAUUCAAAUCGACAUUCAUGGGAUCACUUAUGGCCACAUGUAUACUAGUUGCAAUUAAUAUUGCUUUCUCAAAUUCUGAUAUCUAAAGCCUGUACUGCCUGAACAAAUCAAUGGGCUUAUAUACAUUCUGAUAUAUAUUUUCUAAAUACAUCUGUAGAUUCCCAUACCCUUUUUAGAUCCAAUUGUAAUUGUUUUGCAUUUGUCUUUGGAUUGUUUUUAUACACCCCAAGGUAAUAUUCAAGGACAACCAAGCAUUCAAGCUUAGGGAUGCCCAGGAUGGCAUCCCCUCUUUUGUCUUCGUUUCAUCGGUAAAUUUACUUCAGGCUAUAUUUUUAUUCACCACACGAUAUGUGUUUUGCUUGGAGCGUCUUGUAUGAUAUGAGUAUUUGGUUUUAGUUUACCAUAAUCGUUCUUGAUGUACACACUUUUUGAGAGGGACACACAUGAAUCGUGAAUUUAUUAGAAUACUCUAUGUGCUUCACUUAUAUCUUGAGCUAGCACUACAAAAAAAUACACUUCCAUGAUGAUACGUGUUUGUCACAGUAGGUCACAUUUUCUGUCAUGAAUGUACAUCCAUGAAAAUUUUAUGACAGAAUAAAGAUAGUCAUACUCAUGCCGUCGUAGAAGUGUUCCAUUACAUUACCAGAAUUGUCAUCACUGAAGUGUCCACUUCCAUGACGAUAAAUGGCGCGUCAUGGAAGUGCUUUCGUCAAGGGUGACCGACACGUGGCAUCCACC
rnacentral:lncRNA from 1 species